rnacentral:rRNA from 1 species
UGGGGAAUAUUGGACAAUGGGCGAAAGCCUGAUCCAGCCAUGCCGCAUGAGUGAAGAAGGCCUUUGGGUUGUAAAGCUCUUUUAGUGAGGAAGAUAAUGACGGUACUCACAGAAGAAGUCCUGGCUAACUCCGUGCCAGCAGCCGCGGUAAUACGGAGAGGGCUAGCGGUAUUCGGAAUUAUUGGGCGUAAAGGGCGCGUAGGCUGGUUAAUAAGUUAAAAGUGAAAUCCCGAGGCUUAACCUUGGAAUUGCUUUUAAAACUAUUAAUCUAGAGAUUGAAAGAGGAUAGAGGAAUUCCUGAUGUAGAGGUAAAAUUCGUAAAUAUUAGGAGGAACACCGGUGGCGAAGGCGUCUAUCUGGUUCAAAUCUGACGCUGAAGCGCGAAGGCGUGGGGAGCAAACA